rnacentral:rRNA from 1 species
CAGUCGCCGCGGGAAUACGAAGGGUGCAAGCGUUACUCGGAAUUACUGGGCGUAAAGCGUGCGUAGGUGGUGGUUUAAGUCCGUUGUGAAAGCCCUGGGCUCAACCUGGGAAUUGCAGUGGAUACUGGGUCACUAGAGUGUGGUAGAGGAUAGUGGAAUUUACGGUGUAGCAGUGAAAUGCGUAGAGAUCGGAAGGAACAUCUGUGGCGAAGGCGACUAUCUGGGCCAACACUGACACUGAGGCACGAAAGCGUGGGGAGCAAACAGGAUUAGAUACCCCUGUAGUCCCUGUCUCUUAUAC